CGAGGAAUAUUGGUCAAUGGGCGAGAGCCUGAACCAGCCAAGUAGCGUGCAGGAUGACGGCCCUAUGGGUUGUAAACUGCUCUUAUGUGGGGAUAAAGUGCGUGACGUGUCAUGCAUUGCAGGUACCACAUGAAUAAGGACCGGCUAAUUCCGUGCCAGCAGCCGCGGUAAUACGGAAGGUCCGGGCGUUAUCCGGAUUUAUUGGGUUUAAAGGGAGCGUAGGCUGUCUAUUAAGCGUGUUGUGAAAUUUACCGGCUCAACCGGUGGCUUGCAGCGCGAACUGGUCGACUUGAGUAUGCAGGAAGUAGGCGGAAUUCAUGGUGUAGCGGUGAAAUGCGUAGAUAUCAUGACGAACUCCGAUUGCGCAGGCAGCUUACUGUAGCAUAACUGACGCUGAUGCUCGAAAGUGCGAGUAUCAAACAGG
rnacentral:rRNA from 1 species